rnacentral:tRNA from 1 species
UUGUGAUGGCUACUAGGUAGCUCUAUUGAAUUCAAAGCUCAAGGUGCAAAUACACUUCAUUACA